GAGGGUAUAGUUUGUGAUAGAGUGCGUGCUUGGCAUGCACUAGGUCCUGGGAUCAAUCCCCAGUACCUCCC
rnacentral:tRNA from 1 species